CAGUCGCCGCGGGAACACGUAGGGUGCGAGCGUUAAUCGGAAUUACUGGGCGUAAAGCGUGCGCAGGCGGUUAUAUAAGUCAGAUGUGAAAUCCCCGGGCUCAACCUGGGAACUGCAUUUGAGACUGUAUGGCUAGAGUGUGUCAGAGGGGGGUAGAAUUCCACGUGUAGCAGUGAAAUGCGUAGAUAUGUGGAGGAAUACCGAUGGCGAAGGCAGCCCCCUGGGAUAACACUGACGCUCAUGCACGAAAGCGUGGGGAGCAAACAGGAUUAGAUACCCCAGUAGUCCCUGUCUCUUAUAC
rnacentral:rRNA from 1 species